rnacentral:lncRNA from 1 species
UGCAUGCUGCCACCUACCAGUGCUAGAUCCUGGCUCCAUUUGCUCUCUCUGGGCUGGACCUGCCUUCUUUGACCUUAUUUCAGAGAAACUUGAGAAUGGAUUUUGCUGUAGCCUUGGUGGACUUCUCCCCCUGAAACCAUGGCCAGGAAUGCUGACUCUUUCUGAAGUAAAGUUUCUGAAGGGUGUUCUUGUGGCUGACAUUCUAAUUUAUGCUUCUGAAGAAGGCAUGUGGGAAUUAAGUGACAUGAUGGAAAGUUUAAGUGUAAUCAACAGCAAGGAUAAAUGUUUGUGAUUUCUGCAUAUUAAUCUGGCUUUGAUUUGAGUUUCUGCAGCAUCUGUGACAAAACCAUAGGUUAUGGAUUUGGAAGCAUAAAUUUUGUUUCUCUGACAACAUAUAUUUUAGAUACUUAAUCGAUAAACUGAUUGAAUUUAAC